ensembl:antisense Gm27222 predicted gene 27222
CCAUCAAAUCAGGUCCUUGUGCAUGCUGGGCAAACACCCUACUGACUAAGCUAGAUCCCAGCCAAGACACUGGCUGUUUCUGGGAACAACAUACAUCAUGUGUUGGAUGGAAUUCUACCUUGGCAAGAAUAACGAAGUUCCUCAGGUUGCCUGCAGGAGCCAGGGUACCAAGCCUGUUUCUCCUCCCAAGACCACAGUGGGGCGCACCACGGAUACUCCAAACGGCCCGGUAUUCAAAGGCUAGUGCGUACUGGAGCCACAGGUCAACUGCCUGCUCAUAAAGGGAACUUCUGAGGCCUCUCACUGACUCCGUCUUGAGGAGCUGAAUGGCUUGUAAACACUCCGUUCACAAGUAAGGACAAGACGUUGAGACAAGCUGGAGAAACGGCGUGUUACUUCUGCAAAGCAUAGGUAGGCUUGGCAUGCC